UAGAUUAUAUCUUAAUAAAAGUAUUUCAUUUACAUUGAAAAGAUAUUAGUUUUUUAAUUAAUCUAA
rnacentral:tRNA from 1 species